UCCCUAGUGGCUCAGUUGGUAAAGAAUCUGCCUGCAAUGCAGGAGACCCAGGUUCAAUCCCUGAGUCAGGAA
rnacentral:tRNA from 1 species